UGCAACCAGGUUGCCCCAGCCUUGGCCUGCAAAGGCUUCCUUCUUUUCCGCUAUCCCACCCCAGUAAGGGAGUCAGGCAUAGUUCGGGCAGAGGCAGAAAGAGCGAGUAAGCGAAGAGCUUCGGUGUUAAGGUUGCUGAGGCUUCUCAUGUGCUUCAAGAGAAAGGACACCGGCGGGGGAGGGGGAGAGCGGGAGACCAUAGGAAGCCGAGGGAAUAAGCUCGCAGCAGAGAAAACGCUUGUGGUGCUACGAACCCUUGGAGCAUCUCUCCUAAGGACUGGACGCAAGGGCCAGCUGGAGGGCGAGUGCGGCGCGGCCGCCGCCUCAUGGGACACCUGGCUGCACCGUGCAGAGUGGGGCCGAAGACGGGAGCUAGAAACCGAGGGAGGCGAAGAGAGCGCCAGGGCUUGGCCGGAAGGGAGGGGUUGAAAAGGAAAGGCCUACAAUGAGGAAGAGAGAGUUACCACAACAGGCGGUACCUAGUUCCAGUUCUUGGUCCCAGGGGUUUGUGGUUGCUGCUGCUUUCAUCUUCUUCAGCCAAAACAAAAGGAAAGUGCCAAAGGGCGAUUCCUUAGGACCUUCGGUGCAGUCUCCACCUCGCAGACUUGGCUCAUUUGUGUCCACUCCCUUCUCCAACCCUUUACACUUGAUGCUCUCAGAUGAGUAGAAAGGAGCACAAUUAGUGGAAAACACAAGCUUGGGAGUCAAGGGAUUUGGGUUCUAUUCUUGUCGUCCCUUGGUGACGACAUCAUUACCUUGGGUUAUUCACGCUUUCAGUGCCAGAGUUCCUAGAUCAAUAAAAGAUUAUUAUAUUGACCUCUUACAGAAAUGUUUUCACGGUACAGAAUUCCAAAUAAAGUAUGCGUAGCCGUGUGUUA